rnacentral:rRNA from 1 species
UAGGUGGCAAGCGUUGUCCGGAUUUACUGGGUGUAAAGGGCGCGUAGGCGGGAUAGCAAGUCAGGAGUGAAAUCUAUGGGCUUAACCCAUAAACUGCUUUUGAAACUGUUAUUCUUGAGUAUCGGAGAGGCAGGCGGAAUUCCUAGUGUAGCGGUGAAAUGCGUAGAUAUUAGGAGGAACACCAGUGGCGAAGGCGGCCUGCUGGACGACAACUGACGCUGAGGCGCGAAAGCGUGGGGAGCAAA